rnacentral:rRNA from 1 species
AGCAGCCGCGGUAAUUCCAGCUCCAAUAGCGUAUAUUAAAGUUGUUGCAGUUAAAAAGCUCGUAGUUGAAUUUCGGGAUCAGUAUGUUGGUCGUGCUUCGGUACGUACUGUCAUUACUGGUUUCUCCCUUCUGAAGAACCUUGAUGUCAUUAAUUUGGUGUCUUGGGGAAUCAGGACUGUUACUUUGAAAAAUUAGAGUGUUUAAAGCAGGCAUACGCUUGAAUACAUUAGCAUGGAAUAAUGAAAUAGGACGUUUGAUUCUAUUUUGUUGGUUUCUAGGAUCGACGUAAUGAUUAAUAGGGAUAGUUGGGGGCAUUAGUAUUCAAUUGUCAGAGGUGAAAUUCUUGGAUUUAUUGAAGACUAACUACUGCGAAAGCAUUUGCCAAGGAU